AUUGAACGCUGGCGGCAUGCCUUACACAUGCAAGUCGAGCGAAUGGAUUAAGAGCUUGCUCUUAUGAAGUUAGCGGCGGACGGGUGAGUAACACGUGGGUAACCUGCCCAUAAGACUGGGAUAACUCCGGGAAACCGGGGCUAAUACCGGAUAAUAUUUUGAACUGCAUGGUUCAAAAUUGAAAGGCGGCUUCGGCUGUCACUUAUGGAUGGACCCGCGUCGCAUUAGCUAGUUGGUGAGGUAACGGCUCACCAAGGCAACGAUGCGUAGCCGACCUGAGAGGGUGAUCGGCCACACUGGGACUGAGACACGGCCCAGACUCCUACGGGAGGCAGCAGUAGGGAAUCUUCCGCAAUGGACGAAAGUCUGACGGAGCAACGCCGCGUGAGUGAUGAAGGCUUUCGGGUCGUAAAACUCUGUUGCUAGGGAAGAACAAGUGCUAGUUGAAUAAGCUGGCACCUUGACGGUACCUAACCAGAAAGCCACGGCUAACUACGUGCCAGCAGCCGCAGUAA
rnacentral:rRNA from 1 species